CUGGUUGAUCCUGCCAGUAACAUAUGCUUGUCUUAAAGGCUAAGCCAUGCAUGUCUAAGUAUAAACAAUUCUAUACUGUGAAACUGCGAAUGGCUCAUUACAUCAGCAAUCGUUUAUUUGAUAGUAACUUUACCCUGGAUAACCGUGGUAAACCUAGAGCUAAUACAUGCGCAAUAUCCCUGACUGGCGACGGAAGGGGAUGUAUUUAUUAGAUAAAAAACCAAUGCGGGCUGCUUUCGGGUGGUCCGGUAACUGGGUGAUUCAUAAUAACUUCUCGAAUCGUUUAUGGCCUCGAGCCUACGAUGGUUCAUUCAAAUUUCUGCCCUAUCAACUUUGUAGGUAGUAUAGAGGACUACCUAGGUGGUAACGGGUAACGGAGAAUCAGGGUUCGAUUUCGGAGAGGGAGCCUGAGAAACGGCUACCACUUUCAAGGAAGGCAGCAGGCGCGCAAAUUACCCAAUCCUGACACAGGGAGGUAGUGACAAUAAAUAACAAUAUAGCUCUUUUACAAGUGCUAUAAUUGGAAUGAGUACAAUCUAAACCCCUUAACGAGUAUCAAUUGGAGGGCAAGUCUGGUGCCAGCAGCCGCGGUAAUUCCAGCUCCAAUAGCGUAUCUUAACGUUGUUGCGGUUAAAAAGCUCGUAGUUGGAUUUUGGAGUCGGGUCGGUCAGGUCCGCCGCGAAGGUGUGCACCGGCUGUUUUUUUUGCCCGAUUCUCAGCCUACCGGAAACUCGCUGCGCCGCUUAGUUGGGGCGUGGUUUGUUGCUCGCGAGGGUGACUGCGCCACGUGGAGUGCGGGCGGUUGGGAUUGUGGGCGUGUGCGCGCCUCCCGGGGCGUGGCUCUUCGGAGCGGCGUUUCGGACGCGCAUGCGCUCUGCCCAGUCGCCUUCCGCGUUUUGGUGGAGUUCCGGUUCGUUUACUGUGAAUAAAUUAGAGUGUUUCACGCAGGCUAGUUCACGCCUUGAAUACUUUAGCAUGGGAUAAUGGAAGAGGACAGCGGUUCUAUUUUGUUGGUUUCUAGGACUGUUGUAAUGAUUAAAAGGGAUAGUUGGGGAGCUCAGUAUUGAAUUGUCAGAGGUGAAAUUCUUGGAUUUAUGUAAGACUAACUUCUGCGAAAGCAUUGCUCAAGGAUGUUUUCAUUAAUCAAGAACGAAAGUUAGGGGAUCGAAGACGAUCAGAUACCGUCGUAGUCUUAACCAUAAACUAUGCCGACCAGGGAUUGGGAGACGUUACACGUAUGACUCCCCCAGCACCUUACGAGAAAUCACAAGUUUUUGGGCUCCGGGGGAAGUAUGGUCGCGAGGCUGAAACUUAAAGGAAUUGACGGAAGGGCACCACCAGGAGUGGAGCCUGCGGCUUAAUUUGACUCAACACGGGGAAACCUACCAGGUCCGGACACAGCGAGGAUUGACAGAUUGAUAGCUCUUUCUUGAUUCUGUGGGUGGUGGUGCAUGGCCGUUCUUAGUUGGUGGAGUGAUUUGUCUGGUUGAUUCCGUUAACGAACGAGACCUCAGCCUACUAAUUAGUGCUGCGAAUCCGUACGCUUGUGGUAUCCCCGUCGGUUUAGCGGUCGCGCCUCCGGGCCGGCGGCGGUCGACGGUGCUGGUGCCGUUCAGAUUCGACAGCGACUUCUUAGAGGGACUAUUCGUAUCAAGCGAAAGGAAGUAUGAGUCUAAAACAGGUCUGUGAUGCCCUUUAGAUGUUCUGGGCUGCACGCGCGCUACACUGACGAGCUCAACGAGUUUUCGCGACCCGCCCUCACGGGCGCGGUCGGAACCUUGGCCGAGAGGUCUGGGUAAACUUUUGAGUGCUUGUCGUGCUGGGGAUAGAUGAUUGCAAUUAUUCGUCUUCAACGAGGAAUUCCUAGUAAGCGCAAGUCAUCAGCUUGCGCUGAUUACGUCCCUGCCCUUUGUACACACCGCCCGUCGCUCCUACCGAUGAAUGAUCCGGUGAAUUCGUAGGAUAGCGAGCAAAUGCCGUCUGGCGACAGACGGUUUGCUUGUCAGAAUACGUGUGAAUCAUGUCAUUUAGAGGAAGGAGAAGUCGUAACAAGGUAUCCGUAGGUGAACCUGCAGAAGGAUCA
rnacentral:rRNA from 1 species